GCCACUCCUUUCUUCAUGGAGGACCGUGUCUGUCUGGACUCAGCCCUGCUGUUGUUCAUGUCCUGCUUGGUGGGAGUCCUGAGACUGCAACUGUUACACCAGAAGACUGUCCAGACUUGGACAUAAGAGAAACUAUCAAACUUCUUGAAGGGAACUCCUCUCUGUCAGAGAAGGAUAAACAGCGUGUCCAGGAGUUGGUCCUUGCCUGGGACCUCCCUCCCCUAACCGAGAACAACAGGAGAUGGCUUUUUGAGAAGCUGUUAAUCCAUGCUGUGAUAGGACGUGUCAUGAGGCAAAUCAAGC